rnacentral:rRNA from 1 species
CCUACGGGGGGCUGCAGUGGGGAAUAUUGGACAAUGGGGGAAACCCUGAUCCAGCAAUGCCGCGUGUGUGAAGAAGGCCUGCGGGUUGUAAAGCACUUUCGGUUGGGAAGAAAAGUUUGGCGCCAAUACCGCCGAACCUUGACGUUACUGACAGAAGAAGCACCGGCUAACUCUGUGCCAGCAGCCGCGGUAAUACAGAGGGUGCAAGCGUUAAGCGAAAUCUGUGGGGGUGAACAUGGAGGAGGGGGGCGAAAUCCCCGGGCUUAACCUGGGAACUGCAUUCGAUACUACAUGGCUAGAGUAUGGUAGAGGGAAGUGGAAGUUCCGGUGUAGCGGUGAAAUGCGUAGAUAUCGGAAGGAACACCAAUGGCGAAGGCAGCUUCCUGGACUAAUACUGACACUGAGGCACGAAAGCGUGGGUAGCAAACAGGAUUAGAUACCCGAGUAGUC